AACGAACGCUGGCGGCGCGUCUUAAGCAUGCAAGUCGGACGGUAAGGAAGGAGCUUGCUUCUUCCCUAGAGUGGCGGACUGGUGAGGAACGCGUGGGUGACGCACCCUUCGGACGGGGAUAGCCGGUAGAAAUACCGGGUAAUACCGGAUAAGAGCGCCUCCUUAGAGGGAGGCGGAGAAAGCGGCUUCGGCCGCGCCGGAGGAACGGCCCGCGUGCUAUUAGCUAGUUGGCGGGGUAACGGCCCACCAAGGCGACGAUAGCUAUCCGGCCUGAGAGGGUGACCGGCCACAUUGGGACUGAGACACGGCCCAAACUCCUACGGGAGGCAGCAGUGGGGAAUAUUGCACAAUGGGGGAAACCCUGAUGCAGCGACGCCGCGUGAGGGAAGAAGGUUUUCGGAUUGUAAACCUCUGUCCUUGGUGACGAUAAUGACGGUAGCCAAGGAGGAAGCCACGGCUAACUACGUG
rnacentral:rRNA from 1 species